rnacentral:rRNA from 1 species
GACGAGGGAUCCUAGCGUUGUUCGGAAUCAUUGGGCGUAAAGCGGAUGUAGGUGGCUUUGUAAGUCAGGUGUGAAAGCCCCGGGCUCAACCCGGGAAGUGCAUUUGAUACUGCGAAGCUUGAGUGCUAGAGAGGUUACUAGAAUACCUGGUGUAGUGGUGAAAUACGUAGAUAUCAAGAGGAACACCUGCGGCGAAGGCGGGUUGCUGGGCUGACACUGACGCUGAAGCGCGAAAGCCAGGGGAGCGAACGGG